UACGUAGGGGGCAAGCGUUGUCCGGAAUCAUUGGGCGUAAAGCGCGGGUAGGCGGCUUGGUAAGUCCGUUCUGAAAGCCCGGGGCUCAACCCCGGGAGGCGGAUGGAUACUGUCAAGCUUGAGUCCGGAAGAGGCGAGUGGAAUUCCCGGUGUAGCGGUGAAAUGCGCAGAUAUCGGGAGGAACACCAAUGGCGAAGGCAGCUCGCUGGGACGUGACUGACGCUGAGACGCGAAAGCGUGGGGAGCAAACAGG
rnacentral:rRNA from 1 species